rnacentral:lncRNA from 1 species
CUGGGGAAACGGGAAAUAUACUUUUGACUUGUGAAGAUGAAGUUGCUUUUUGUUCUCUUGUGGCCACAACUACAAUUCAUUAUCAGAAUCCACCCUUAACAGCUGGCAUAUGACAUAAAGAAGAAGCCUGCCUGCACCAAGGGGACAAUUUCCAGGCAAAGAUGGAAUGCAGAGCUCUUUGCUGAAAGCUAACCAUCUUCAAAAUAGGCCAUGAGACAAAAAGGUGCUGUUGUCUUUCACGGCUGCUGGUAAGAGGUACAGACUCUUAAGCAAUGGUUGAGGAACAACUAGUAUCACAAGAGACAAUGUUUUGAAUGAAACUCAAGGCAUACUCAUCAGAGAAUGAACUGUUCACUUCAAGUGAGGGGACAUGUAGUCUUCCCUCAGAGGACAAAUAGCUGACUCUGUGAAGGAGAAAUGCAUGGGUGACCCCAUUUGGGGCCACCAAGGUGCUGAACCAUUGCCUUCUGUUGGAUCUUAACCCACAUGCGGGGUUCCAUGAUGAGGGGAAAAGAGUAACGUUGGAGUUGAAAAGCCUGGCAGACACCAUGUUCGACUGAGUGAUCAGAGUGAGCGCCGCCAGCCAUGAAACACACUGAAUCUGGAACAAUGGUGCAGCCCACUAUGGCUUCUCUGAUAGUCCUGCCAAAGGGCCUCAGCUGAAGAACCCAGAAGACAGUGGAAAAAGUUUUUCCCUCCCUAUAUGGGAGUGUGAGAGCCCAACUCUGCCUCAAGAGAGAAGAAAGUCUAAGGAGUUACUUGUGCUCCAGAGCUCCCUGGGAAUCAGACAGAGAGCCUAAUGGACCUGGAGGAAAAUAAAAACCCAACUCCAUUUCCCCCUAGCCACCCUGUCCUAGCUCAGGGAAAAACUGAGAAGCUGAAUGAAGCUCACAGUCCAGGGCACAGGCUCAAGACAGACUGGGUCCUAAUCACAGGUCUACACACUGAGUCCUAAUCACAGGGCUAUGGAACCCUUCCCUUCCCCACACCUCACCAAAGGCCUAUUUGCCACCGUUUCUGACCCAGUGCAUCACAUCUGGCUAUCAACAAACAAUCACAAGGCAUAAAAAAAGGUAAAGACCACAGUCUGAAAAGACAGAGCAAAUGUCAGAACCAGACUCAGCUAUGGCACGGAUGUUGGAACUAUGAGACUGGGGAUUUAAAAUAACUAUGAUUCAUGUGCUAAGGGCUCUAAUGGAUAAAGUGGACAGUAAGCAAGAACAGAUGGGCAAUGUAAAUAGAGAGAUCAAAGUUCUAAGAAAGAAUAAAAGAGAAAUGCGAGAGAUCAAAAACACUAACAAAUGAAGGAUGCUUCUCACGGGCUCAUUAGUAGGCUGGGCACAGCUGAGAAAGACUCUCUGAGGCUGAGGAUAUCUCAAUAGAAACAUCCAGAACUGAAAAGCAAAGGGAAAAAAUGCUGAAUGAAAAAGGCAUAGAAUAUCCAAGGACUGUGGGAUAAUUAGAAAAGGUAUAUGUUUAAUAGGAAUACCAAAAGGAGAAGACAGAGAGAAAGGAACAGAUGGAAAGUUGGAAACAAUAAUGACUGAAAAUCAGACACCAAACCACAGAUCCAGGAAGCUCAGAGAACACCAACCACGAUGAAUGUCAAAAUUAAGCCUAGCCACAUUGUUUUCAAACUACAGAAAAAUCAGAUAAGGAAAAAAAUCCCAAAAGAUGCCAAAGGUGAAAAACACCUUACUUCCUUAGAGGAACAAAGGUAAGAAUUUCAUCUGACUUCAUGGAAACCAUGCAAGCAAGAAGACAGUGGAGUGAAAUAUUGAAUGUGUUGAGAAAAAAACUCCACCAGUCUAGCAUUCUAUACUCUGUGACAUUAUCCUCCAAAAGUAAAGGAGACUUAAAGGCUUUCUCAGACAAACAAAAAUUCAGGGAAUUUGAUGCUAGCAGAUCUGCCUUGUUAAAUGUUCAAAGAAGUUAUUCAAGGCAAUAAAAAUUGUUAUAGGUCAGAAGGUCAUAUCUACAUAACAAAAGAAAGAACAUCAGAGAAGAAAUAAGUGAAGGUAAAAUGAAAUUUUUAACUUGUUACUCUUAAUCUAACAGAUCAAUUUGUUCAAAAUUAUUGUAGCCACAAUGUAUUAACAUAUAUACAAAUGUGCUACCGAGCCAUGAAAAGAUAUGAAGGAAACAAAUGCAUAUUACUAAGUAAAAGAAGCCAAUCUGAGAAAAGCUAUGUAAUAUAUAAUUCCAACCACAGGACUCACUGGAACAGGUAAAACUAAGGUGGCAAUAAAAGGAUUAGUGGUUGUCCGGGGUUAGGGUGUGGGAGGGAUGAACAGGUAGAGCACAGAGGAUUUUUUAGGGCAGCGAUUCUUUAUGAUAUGACAAUGGUAGAUACAGCUCAGACACUUGUCAAAACCCAUAGAAUGUGCAAAUGAAAAGUGAACCCUGAUGUGAACUAUGGACUUUGAGUGAUAAUGACGUGUCCAUGGAGGUUCUUUGACUGCAACAAACAUGCCACUUUGGUAGAGAAUGUCGAUCAAGGGGGAGGCUGUGCAUGUGUAGGGGCAGGGGGCAUAUGGAAAUCUCUGUACUUUCCACUUAAUUUUGCAGUGAACCUAAAACUGCUCUAAAAAGCAAAGUCUAUUAAAGAAAAUUCACAAUAACCUAAAACAGAUGUAGGCUAGAUUUGGCCAGAGGGCUACAGUUUGUCGAAUCUUGACUUAGAAUAAGUCCUUCGUUGAAGAAGUAAAAACUAUAACAAAAACCACCAACCAAAGUGUGUUCCAGUUACUGCUGCUGCAUAAUAAAUCACCCCCAAACAACUCUUUGAUUUUGCAUAAUCGUGUGGGUCAGGAAUUUUGGAAGGGCAUCUGCUGGGCAGUUGUCGAUCACUGUAGUCAGAUAUUGGCUGGGGCUGCAGCCACCUGAGGGCACAAGGGCCAGACAUCCAUGAUGCUCACUCCCGUGGCCUGGCAGCGGAUGGUGACUCUUGUCUGGGGGCACAGCUAGGCAGUCUGCUGGAGCACCACAUGAGGCCUCUCCAGCAUGGAGUUUUCUCAAUGCUGCAUGCUGCCCCCACAGCAAGCAACCCAAGAAAACCGGUGAAAGCUACAUGGCCUUUCCUUUUCUAGUGCUGAGAAGCCUCAGAGUAACUUCUUCCCCAUUCUUCUGGUUACAAGAGAAUCAGGAGCCAGUCCCACGUCAAGGGGAGGGAAGGUAGACACCACCUCUGAUGGGAAGCAUGUCAAAGACACUGUGGCUAAUUUUUAAAAUAAAGCAAUGUUGAAACUACACUCCAUUGUACUUCUACCUGGAAGCAGGGGAUGGGUAGAAAUGAAAUUAAUAUUUAUCACUAUGAACCAUGCAUGAUGUCAAAUACAGUACACAUGUUAGCCCACAACAACUUCCUGAAUUAAAAAGGGCAGUUCCUAUAUUACAGAUGAGGAACUGAAAGCACAGAGAGUUUCAGGUGCUCCUCAAAUUACGCCAGUAGCGAGUAGCAGAUUCUAAUGUCAACGCCAGAUGUGCCCAAUGUUCAUCCUUCCAGACUAUUUUAUGCUGCUGGAAACACGGCAAAGACAAGUAGCAUGUUGGGAAGGGAAUCAGCGUUCUCUUCGGCUAAAGCCUUUGUGUUCUCUAUGGUAGGGUUUCUCAAACUUUAACACAUAUAUACAUCCCCCGGGCAUCUUGCGAAAAUAGAUUCUCAUCCUUCAGGGCUGGGCUGGGGACUGAGAUUCCACAUCUAACAAGCUCCCAGGGGAUGCUGCUGCUGCUAGCCUGUGGCUUGCACUGUGGGAUGUGGGGCUCUAUGGCACAGCAGGGUGAUAAUACACUGGGGUGCAGUGCCCAGACAAGGCCCAGAGAGCCAAGCAAAGCAUGCGUCCUUCCUUAGGGGCCUGAUAACCUUCCCUAUUCUGGGGGCAGUGAGAGUCUAAGGAUAGAAGUCCAGGGGUGGGUAGUGGGUGGAAUGUGGUUGAAUUCCUUGGCAGUCUGUCCCACAAUGCCAGUAGGCAUAGGAAGAAGUUAGAAAUUGCCAUUUUCUUCUGGGAAAAUCUUUUUGUUUAUUCUUUCACUUUGGUUUUUCUGGAGUUGUACAAAAAUACGGAUAAUUGCAAAAAGCUGGACUAUUGCAAUUGUGUGUGAUUCAGACAGAAUAAGCCUGAGAGGCAUAACUGAGUCCAGAAAAAUGCCAAGUCAUAAAUCAAAAGUGAGAUCAAACUAAUUAUUCCAAGUGAGUCGAUGGCACAACACUUGUUUAUCUCAAUACAUAAUCGGCUUCACUAAUUAAAAUGCAAAUUCGAUUGCAUUUAUAACUGGUAACCCUGCCAAGUUAAAGCUUCAAUACAUCUGAUGUGUGAGCUGUACGAACUUUUCAGGGACACUAGGUGGCGCCCGUGUACUUUUCUUGAGAAAGCCAGGCUGCUUUAACCAUUUAAAAUUUCAAUCAGUGGAAAGAAACGAGUUAGCCCAGUGGUUCUCAAAGACAUUGAGUCAAAACUCUGGGGAUUGGGCCCCAGAUCUGUACGGUAAGUAAUUCUUCCCAGACGAUUUUAUUUUUAUACCAGUUGGUUAAUGUAAUGACAUUGGAAACAGCUAGCACAGUUAAGCGCUUAAUUGCUUAAUUGUAAUAUGAUAAAACUGAGGCUGAGAGA